UACAGAGGGUGCAAGCGUUGUUCGGAAUCAUUGGGCGUAAAGGGCGCGUAGGUGGCCCGGUCAGCGUGCGGUGAAAGCUCGGGGCUCAACCCCGAGUCGGCCGUGCGAACUGCUGGGCUCGAGCACUGUAGAGGCAGGCGGAAUUCCGGGUGUAGCGGUGGAAUGCGUAGAGAUCCGGAAGAACACCGGUGGCGAAGGCGGCCUGCUGGGCAGUGGCUGACACUGAGGCGCGACAGCGUGGGGAGCAAACAGG
rnacentral:rRNA from 1 species